rnacentral:rRNA from 1 species
AGAGUUUGAUCCUGGCUCAGGACGAACGCUGGCGGCAUGCCUAACACAUGCAAGUCGAACGGUAAGGCCCUCUUCGGAGGGUACACGAGUGGCGAACGGGUGAGUAACACGUGGGUAACCUGCCCUUCACUGGGGGACAACCGAGGGAAACUUCGGCUAAUACCGCAUGAUGUGCGGCUUCACAAGGAGCCGUACCAAAACUCCGGUGGUGAAGGAUGGGCCCGCGGCGGAUUAGCUAGUUGGUGGGGUAAAGGCCUACCAAGGCGACGAUCCGUAGCUGGUCUGAGAGGACGAUCAGCCACACUGGGACUGAGACACGGCCCAGACUCCUACGGGAGGCAGCAGUGGGGAAUCUUGCGCAAUGGGCGAAAGCCUGACGCAGCAAUGCCGCGUGAGGGAAGAAGGUCUUAGGAUUGUAAACCUCUUUCAGCAGGGACGAAAACAGACGGUACCUGCAGAAGAAGCCCCGGCUAACUACGUGCCAGCAGCCGCGGUAAUACGUAGGGGGCAAGCGUUGUCCGGAGUCAUUGGGCGUAAAGAGCGUGUAGGUGGACUGGAAGGUCUGGUGUGAAAGCCCGGGGCUCAACCCCGGAGGGUCACUGGAAACCAACAGUCUUGAGUCCGGAAGAGGAGAGUGGAAUUCCUGGUGUAGCGGUGGAAUGCGCAGAUAUCAGGAGGAACACCGAUGGCGAAGGCAGCUCUCUGGUACGUGACUGACACUGAGACGCGAAAGCGUGGGGAGCGAACAGGAUUAGAUACCCUGCUAGUCCACGCCGUAAACGAUGGGCGCUAGGUGUGGAGGUGUCGACUCCUUCCGUGCCCGAAGCUAACGCAUUAAGCGGCCCGCCUGGGGCGAGUAUCGGUCGAAAGGCUAAUACUCAAACGGAAUUGACGG